GCUGCCUCUGAAUACCCUCUCCCUUCUCAAAUGUUCUCGAAUGUUCCUGAUACCCUAUUCUCCUCCAUUGUCUUCAACAUCUGAUUCACUUGAAUCCAUGGCCUCUCAGGCCAUGGACGACCUAUACUCACAUCCUAUUACCCUUAUGUGCCUGAUAUUUGAAGGUUCAAGGUUAGACUUAGAAGGCCUUCACCCAGACCUUCGCUGAUUCAAGGUUUCCAGCUAUGUCCGUCCCUACUCCGGCAUAUCCUAGCCUCUUGAGUCUGAUUCCGACCUUAUCCGGCUUAGAUCAAACCUCUUUGAAGCCUUUCUCAUUGUAGGUUUCCUCUGAAACCCUAACACUACGAG
rnacentral:lncRNA from 1 species